rnacentral:tRNA from 1 species
UCCCUUGUGUCUCAGUGGGUUGAGAACCUGACAUUGUCACUGCUGUGGCUCUGGUUACAGUUUUGGCACAGGUUCAAUUCCUGUCCUGGGAA